UGCCAGUGAUAAACUGGAGGAAGGUGGGGAUGACGUCAAGUCAUCAUGGCCCUUACGACCAGGGCUACACACGUGCUACAAUGGCGCAUACAAAGAGAAGCGACCUCGCGAGAGCAAGCGGACCUCAUAAAGUGCGUCGUAGUCCGGAUUGGAGUCUGCAACUCGACUCCAUGAAGUCGGAAUCGCUAGUAAUCGUGGAUCAGAAUGCCACGGUGAAUACGUUCCCGGGCCUUGUACACACCGCCCGUCACACCAUGGGAGUGGGUUGCAA
rnacentral:rRNA from 1 species